CGUUGUCUUAUUCCAUAUGGAAUAGGAUAAGAUUUUUAAAUAUAAUAACAUUAUUUAUUUUUAAUUUACUAUAUUAUUAUGUUCUAUGAAAUUACUGUUUGAUCUUGUGUUGUAGAUUUAAGCCAGAUGCUGGAGUUGGAAAAAUUGCAUCUAAACACAUUUGCGGGCACUUCAACGGCUACUGGACCAGUUGGCAAAAGGUUUCAAAAAAGACAGAGAACAAAUGUUUAAAGAAUUUCAUAAAUAUUACUGGUGGGAUGACGCGAAUGAAUAUGCUAUAAGGAGGAAUUUUUAUUGAAGAGCUAGAUCCAUAUUUAACGGUCUGUUGGAUUAUGCCAGAACCAACAUGGUACGACCAAGGUUUAUACUCGAACUCAUAUGGAAAAAGUAUAUUCGCUAUUGGAGCAGCGAAGAAUACCAAUUGUUGAGUGACAAAGAAAAGAAAGCUCGGGCAUCAUCCAAGGGUAGCUCUCUACAUACUGCGGGUGCAAUUAGUAUGAUUGUUGUGGAGGAAAAAAUGGAAAAACAAAAGGGUAGGAAGGUAACACACGAUUAGCUAUUCGAGGAGACGCGUGUGAAAAAGAAAAAGAACCCAACUGGUGAAGAUGUCUGGGUUAAGCCUCGUGCAAAAGCUGCCCAUGACAAAUAUAUGCAGCUCGUUAGUGAGUAUCGUAGUACUCAGCCUCCUGAAACUCAAGGUGAACCAAUACCUGAACAUGUAGAGGAGGAUUUAUGGCAAGAAACUGUGGGUCCUGCAGUUAGAGGCCGUUACUACGGAUACCACAGAAAUUAUUUUGGCGAGAAUGUUAGGUCUUCGUCCGUCCCUACAUCCUAUACCUCAUCAGUUGAUAGAGAAAUCAUUGAAUCACUAAAAAAUACGAUUUCUAAACUCACUGAAGAGGGCGCAGAAGAAGGAGGAGGAAACAACAUCACAAAUCAGGAAGCUGCAGGAGCAAUUCAGCUCUUUCAUUCAAUCUGCAGGGAUUCUUCCUCUAUGUCCUGGUGAUGCAAUUCGGGCUGCAAAAGGUCUAGGCCCACUGGAUGAUAUCAGCACAGAUGAGGAAUCAGAUCCUCUAUGUGCGGCUGAGGACGCGAACGACGAAGACGAUGAUGAUGAGUGGUAGUUUUUUUACUUUUGUAUGUGUUGUAGUUUGGAUUUGGAGAUGAGUUGUAGUUUUUACACUUUCGUAUGUUUUUUGACUUGUAUUGCA